GCGCAUGCGUGCGGCCCCCGCUCCCCCGGGGCUCGUCGGCCCCGUGCGUGCGCACGCGCGCUGUCCCCCGGAGGCGUCUGGGUGUGCGGAGCGCGCGCGCGCGGCUCGGAGGCGCACCUGUGAGGUGUCCCUUGAGGAGAGGGAGGGUGGGUGCGCGGAGCCCGCGGCCUGGGGCGCUUCAACCCCUCACUUGGAAGCGCCCUGCGUCCCAGCAGAGCCGGCCGAGCCCCCUGCCCAGGUGAUGAGGAAGCCUUCGCGCCCCCAGCGCAGAUCGCCGCUGCCGCUGGACGCCUCCUCCAUUGUUUGACCACAACAAGGGCCGGAUUCUCACCCAGGAGGAGCCCGCUCUGUACUCUUUCCAGUUGCUAGUUUGUUUGUUGGUUGUCUUGCUGCAACAAAGGAGACCAGACCUGCAAAUCUAAGAGAUACAUCUCUCUGGAAGAUAAGAGAGCUUCUUCCUCGAGAUCAAAAAAGGAGACUGGAGUGAUACCCAUGUAGGGAAUCCCCGGAAGGAAGGAUUGGCACACGUGGAACCCAAGGAGCUUGCUUCCUGGGAAGGCUUCUGUCUGAUGUGUAGGAGGCAGAACGUCAUACUGACUCUUCAAGGGGAGGCUACAGGGGAUCGAGAUCGACACGCAGUAUCUCACCCUCCACCACAGGGGACACUGUGCGGUCCUUUUUCUAGAAGUGGGAAGUACGAGAUUGUUCUACAAGAAGAAGAUUCCGGGGGCUUAAAAACGCAGAGGUUUGCACCUUGGGAGCCCCUUGGAAUGUUGACAACUCAGGAUCUGAAGGAAAGUUCUGUGUUCAUGAGUUACAGAAUUCAUGUGGGAGUAAAUGUCACUUUAUGAUCAGUAAUAAUACUGAGUGAGGAGCACUAUGCAGGAAGAAACCUUCCAUAGAAAGACGGGCAGGGAGAAGCUCAGGCCAACCAUAGCCCUACCGAAUAGAGCAGGCCUGAGAUAAACUGCCAGGAUGGCCAAAUAAGAGACUCUAUGAAAUAGCAGUCCUUCAACUAAAGUAGUCGUAAGGAAAUUUCCUCCUCUAAAUCACGAUACCAAAUAGGAAAAAUGAUCUACAAGUGCCCCAUGUGUAGGGAAUUUUUCUCUGAGAGAGCAGAUCUUUUUAUGCAUCAGAAAAUCCACACUGCUGAGAAGCCCCAUAAAUGUGAUAAGUGUGAUAAGGGUUUCUUUCAUAUAUCGGAACUUCAUAUUCAUUGGAGAGACCACACAGGAGAGAAGGUCUAUAAAUGUGAUGAUUGCGGUAAGGAUUUUAGUACUACAACAAAACUUAACAGACAUAAGAAAAUCCACACAGUGGAGAAGCCCUAUAAAUGCUAUGAGUGUGGCAAAGCCUUCAAUUGGAGCUCACAUCUUCAAAUUCACAUGAGAGUUCAUACAGGUGAGAAGCCCUAUGUCUGUAGUGAGUGUGGAAGGGGCUUUAGUAAUAGUUCAAAUCUUUGCAUGCAUCAGAGAGUCCACACGGGCGAGAAACCCUUUAAAUGUGAAGAGUGUGGGAAGGCCUUCAGGCAUACUUCUAGCCUCUGCAUGCAUCAGAGAGUUCACACAGGAGAGAAACCCUAUAAAUGUUAUGAGUGCGGGAAGGCCUUCAGCCAGAGUUCGAGCCUCUGCA